UUUUGUUUGUCUGCACCUUUUUCCUUUCUUUCGAACUCCCCCAUUUCUCUCUUCUUCUUCCCCGUGAAAGACACACAGACACACACACACACCCACAGCUACACCUACUCGAGGAAAUCAUCACCAUCGUCGCCAUUCAACUGCAUAUCUCUCUCUCUCCCUUGCUCACGGCGCCGGGAGGAUACGAACACCUCCGGCGAGUUUUGUGAUUUUUCCGGUUGGGUUUUGGAGUGUUUUUGGCACGGGUGAGUGCACACCCAAAUUUCCGGCGAGCACCGUCCCUUUCGAGGCGAUUUCCGGCCAAACCACGGCGAGUUGGCCGGCGUGCGAGUUUCCGGCGACCUCAGUGACUUUCGAGGUGUUUUUCAGCCAAACCACGGCGAGUUAGACGUCGUGUGAGGUACCAUUCUCUUCGUCUCUUCGAGAGCUACGAUUUUCAUUUUUGAAUCACUUGAUUUCGUCGAGUAUUAACAAAGUUAUGGACGUUCAAAGUUUGUCUAAAUUCCGGCCGAAUUCCGGCCUUCUUCUCCGGCGUGAAACCCAGCCCAAGAAAACAACCAGGCCAUCAGGCCGUUUCCUUCCCCCACGGGCCUUAGGCCCGUUUGGUCUCUGGCCCAAAACUCUAAACCUUUUCCUUUUUAAUUUAAUUUUGUUUCAUUUUAAACCCAAAGGCCUUAGGGCUUUGGUUGCAGCCCAAACCCAUUUCCCCUUUUUAUUUAGGCCUUAGGGCCUGUUAGCCCAAAACCCAUCACCCUUUCUGUUGUGGGCCUUUGGGCCGUAUGGGUUCAAGCCCAACCCAACUCACCUAAAAACCUAAACCCAA